UGGUGGGUAGUUUGACUGGGGCGGUCUCCUCCUAAAGAGUAACGGAGGAGCACGAAGGUUGGCUAAUCCUGGUCGGACAUCAGGAGGUUAGUGCAAUGGCAUAAGCCAGCUUGACUGCGAGCGUGACGGCGCGAGCAGGUGCGAAAGCAGGUCAUAGUGAUCCGGUGGUUCUGAAUGGAAGGGCCAUCGCUCAACGGAUAAAAGGUACUCCGGGGAUAACAGGCUGAUACCGCCCAAGAGUUCAUAUCGACGGCGGUGUUUGGCACCUCGAUGUCGGCUCAUCACAUCCUGGGGCUGAAGUAGGUCCCAAGGGUAUGGCUGUUCGCCAUUUAAAGUGGUACGCGAGCUGGGUUUAGAACGUCGUGAGACAGUUCGGUCCCUAUCUGCCGUGGGCGCUGGAGAACUGAGGGGGGCUGCUCCUAGUACGAGAGGACCGGAGUGGACGCAUCACUGGUGUUCGGGUUGUCAUGCCAAUGGCACUGCCCGGUAGCUAAAUGCGGAAGAGAUAAGUGCUGAAAGCAUCUAAGCACGAAACUUGCCCCGAGAUGAGUUCUCCCUGACUCCUUGAGAGUCCUGAAGGAACGUUGAA
rnacentral:rRNA from 1 species